AUUCAAUCUGUUGAUAUUUCAGGUUUCAGACUGAAGGAGACUCGGAGGACCUGGAGCCGCUGCAGGACUGGGACUCUCCAGGAUGGUGCCGGAAACUGGAUGGUAUCGCCACAACGUGAUGGUGCUGAGAGAGAAACGUCCAGAAGCUGCUAGACAUCAGAAGGGUCAGCAUGAAGAGGAGCUGCUGGUCAGAGAUGAAGAAGGCCGUCCACUGGAGGUCUCACACUGUGAAAGUCAAACUGUUCACUUUGUUCUGUCCAUGAGGCCUGAAUAUAUUUUUGCUCUUUGCUUUUUGUUAAUAAACUGAUUGAAUUUC